rnacentral:piRNA from 1 species
UCCAAGAUCAAGGUGUUUGGUGGCAUC